rnacentral:lncRNA from 1 species
CACGUCUGUGUCUUUUGGCACCGGCCACUGCUGCGGGGCGUGGAGGCUGUUGGUGAGCACACGGGUUUCCGGAGCACCCCGAGGUCCCCAGAGCUCCCUGCAUCCCGAAUUCCCGCUGCGGGGACGGCACAUGUGGGUGCUGCCCGUGCAGAGUGACACGUUCCCAGGCCCCUCGCUGUCGUGGUCCCUCCGUCCUGCCUUGCCGGGAGGGCGUUGGAAAAGCACUGAUAUCAUCGGCACCGAGCCUGACUCAUCCUGGCUCUUCAGCACAAGCCGUGCCGCUCAGCGGGGCACACAUUUUAUUCCAAUUAAACCAUUGUAGGCAAGCCAGCUCUACAUAAUGAUUUUUUUUUUUUCCUUUUUUUAUUCGUAGCAAAGCGUGCCUGCCCCGGGCCAAAAGGUGAGAGAGGACAGAAGUGACGCUGGAGUCAGUGGAGAGUCUCCACUUCUGGUACGGAGCCCAAAGAGUAAGUCUUGCCAGAAACCUGCAGGGUCUGUCUCGGCUGCCGCAGCAUCCCUGCCUCCCUUGUGCCUCCAGUGACACAGUCUUGUGUCAACAGCCCUCGCCCGAGCCGCAAAAGCCCAGGUCACGAGCCCAGCUCGGAAUGUCACCUCUUCUCACCACGACACGGAGUCCAUCUCCUGCCAAAAGACCCCAGGGGGCUCAGCAUCAAAGUGUCCCUGUCACUGUGAGAAAAUGCAAGGCGACUUGUUCCUCCUGCCUUUCCUGCUCAGGUUUUCCCCGUUUAUUAGAGGUUUGGGAGGAGACUCAAGCCAAAGGAAGAGAUCCUCGCCCUGCCUGGAAUCCUGCUGCUGGCAGGGGCCACUGUCCCAUGUCCCCGACUCGUGUCACGCCUGAGUGGGAGCAGUGGCCGAGGUGGGCAGGGUUUGCGGAUCUUUGGGGUGAGGAUGCUGGUGCCGUGGGCGCUGGUGCCUGGAGGUGGAUGCAGAGCGUGGGCAGCGGUGGGUGCUGGCAGGGUCCCGGCGAGAUGCGAUGCGGGGAGGUGCAGGAUGCGGGAUGCCGGGGCUGCGG